ensembl:snRNA Rnu2-57 RNA, U2 small nuclear 57
AUCACUUCCCUGCCUUGUGGCUAACUGAGUGCAGUAUCAGCUCUUACCAGGUUAAUAUCGGAUAUGUCCUGUCCGAGGACAAUAUAUUAAAUGGAUUUUGGAGCUGGAGGUGGAACAGCGGGUUGCUGUCCCCACAACACUCACUGACCUGGUGUUGUAGUCCAGGAAUGGUGCCCCCACC